rnacentral:rRNA from 1 species
UGGGGAGCCGGAGCGAAAGCGAGUCUGAAUAGGGCGUUUAGUCGCAUUCUGUAGACCCGAAUCCGAGUGAUCUAUCCAUGGGCAGGUUGAAGCGGGGGUAAGACCUCGUGGAGGACCGAACCCACCUAGGUUAAAAACUGGGGGGAUGACCUGUGGAUAGGGGUGAAAGGCCAAUCAAACUCGGUGAUAGCUGGUUCUCCCCGAAAUGCAUUUAGGUGCAGCGUCGUGUGUUCAGUCAUGGGGGUAGAGCACUGAAUGGGUUAGGGGGCCUACAAGCUUACCGACCCCAAUCAAACUCCAAAUACCAUGACUCCAGAGCACGGCAGUGAGACUGCGGGGGAUGAGCUUCGCAGUCGAAAGGGAAACAGCCCAGAUCGCCAGCUAAGGCCCCAAAUUCUGGACUAAGUGUAAAACGAUGUGAGAUUGCCCAGACAGCCAGGAGGUUGGCUUAGAAGCAGCCAUCCUUGAAAGAGUGCGUAACAGCUCACUGGUCGAGUGAUCUUGCGCGGAUAAUGUAACGGGGG